AUUUCCUCUAAUUUUCGGCCUGAGGCUUUGCAACCCGUACCAAAUCAUAGAGUUGUGUUAGGUUGGACUAACCUAAUAUCAGAUUCAACCCGUCACGAAUAUAAAACAUAUUUUAUUUUAUAUAUAUAAAACAUGAAGUUCACAAGCCCAAAAUAUUAUACAUAGGGUUCAUGGAUGCAGCCGAAACUAAAACAUACAUUCAUAUAUCUUGAAAACGAGUCUUUAGCAAAAAGAUGUCCAAUCUACACCAGCUCCUACAGUUCCGUGAGCGCUAUGAUCCUUUCUACUGGUCACCUGCAAAAGGAUGUGAGGAGUGAGUGAACUAGUUUCACUCACUGAGCCAGGGUUCCGUAUCUAGCAUAUACAACUACCCGUCAUUCUAAACCCCAUCCCAAACACAAGCAAG
rnacentral:lncRNA from 1 species